CCUACGGGAGGCAGCAGUGAGGAAUAUUGGUCAAUGGGCGUAAGCCUGAACCAGCCAAGUCGCGUGAGGGAUGAAGGUUCUAUGGAUCGUAAACCUCUUUUAUAAGGGAAUAAAGUGUGGGACGGGUCCUGUUUUGUAUGUACCUUAUGAAUAAGGAUCGGCUAACUCCGUGCCAGCAGCCGCGGUAAUACGGAGGAUCCGAGCGUUAUCCGGAUUUAUUGGGUUUAAAGGGUGCGUAGGCGGCCUUUUAAGUCCGCGGUGAAAGUCUGUGGCUCAACCAUAGAAUUGCCGUUGAAACUGGGAGGCUUGAGUAUGUUUGAGGCAGGCGGAAGGCGGGGUGUAGCGGUGAAAUGCUUAGAUAUCACGCAGAACCCCGAUUGCGAAGGCAGCCUGCCAAGCCAUGACUGACGCUGAUGCACGAAAGCGUGGGGAUCAAACAGGAUUAGAUACCCGAGUAGUC
rnacentral:rRNA from 1 species